GCCAGUGUGGUGUAGUGGUUUGGAUGUUGGAUUCCAACUUUAGACAGCAGGGUUUGAAUCCCUGCUCAGCCA